rnacentral:lncRNA from 1 species
GCCACAGCCGCCCCUGCCUGCGCCAUGGCGGCAGGGCUGCCUGGCCGGUAUUGGAAACAUGAUCAGCAACUCCCCAACGUGGAACCUGGGCAAGAUCAACCUCUCAGUGCUUUGGGAUCCUGCAGGAAUCUUUGAAUUGGUGGAACUUGUUUGCAAUGGUACCUACAAGCAGCACUUUUUAUUCUAGUCAGAGAAGAGGAGGAAAUGAGGACAUGUAAGAGAAAACAUGGCAGCACCAAGACAGGAAAGUACUAUCAGCUCCAGACAGCAGAGGAAAAACAGCAUAGGCUUUCCACUUGAUAGCUCUCAGAGGUCUCCAGCAGAUCAGGUGGAGAACAAGGAACAUACUACAGCCUCCUCAGUUGCAACUCUCUCUGCUCUUUCCAAAAGACUGAAUUUUGAGAGUCCAAGACAGAUGGAAAAAUCAAGCACUACAAAAUUGUGUAUUCCUGGCUGGACUCUGGACUGCAGGAUGUUUUUCAAUCAAGCUCCACCAAUCCUUUAUGUUGUUUGGAAGAGCUGCUGCUGGGGAGGAGGGGGAAGCUUCUUUCCAGAGCAAAUAUGUGGAGAUAGUUUUGUAUCUCCAAGUAAGAGGUGCAAUAAUUCAAACAGUGCAAUGAACAUCAGCUAGAAGACUUGCAGCUCCUAAGGAAGUUGGGGACCAGAAACACGUAAAUAAACAAAUAACCAGAGU